CACAUUACUUCAUUUUAUUCCAAAUAAGCUUCUAAUUUCACUUUUAAUAUAUAUGUUAAAAAUAUAGAGAAGUAAAAUAUAAUAAUUAAAUAUAAUUAUCAUAAAAUCAUUGUUCUUGUGCACAAUAUUAGUGUAAUUUUUCGCAACGAUAAAAAUGACAAUAACUGGUGGAUUUAUUAUUUUCUACAAUCUAUUAAAUGUUUAUUUUUGCUCAAAGAUAUGAAACUGGAACAUGCAAACACUUAAGUCUAUAAAAUGCAUAUUCUCUCUCCGCUAGAUGCAAGUACGGAUUAUUAUACUUUUUGCAUCGAUCAUGCAGCUACGAAUUCCACAUGGAUCAGGUUACAAACGUAUGCCCACGCAUACAUUUCGUGGUGCGCUUUGCUGUCACGUGUACAAAAGGUUGAAAGCUCGUUGUCUCGAGUUGACACGUACGUAGGCAGUAAUGUCGGCUUGGUGAGAAGGGAGAUAUCGCGCAUAUCGCUGGGCAUUCACUGAUCUAAGACGAUAUAAAUUCUGAAAUAUUAAAGAGAAAUAAAUUCUCCUUUGAGAAUUUGUGUUUUGCCGGUAAUUACCAAGCGAGCACGUUGCUACCGGCUUUACAUAAAUCCGUGAAAGGAACGUUUUGUUUCAAACCGAAGGAAUUCACAGAAUGAUGUAAAAAAAAUUAAAUAAAUAAAUUUAGUUAUCUUACCGCUGAAUAAAAUCGCAUUUUCUAAAUUCUUGUAAAUUCAAUACUGUCGCGAUACUAUUUAAACACUGUAGUCCCUGUUAUUCCGUUCCUGAGAAGCUAAACAAACGCGGCGGAAUUUCCUCGAGGGAUAACGGCUAACAAUGCGCAUUCUCGUUUCUAUCCACGAAUUACGUACACUUGGGACCGCGCGUGGCGUUUCUAUCUGAGGCAGGAUUUUCUGAUUAUGCCAUCGCUCGUCCACUCAACUCCCGUUCUCGCGCGAGCAUGAAAAUUAACGGCGCUCUUAUCCGCGCGGCAGAUCGCGCGCGCGCUUGUACUUCGCGGAUUUAUAUCAGUUGCGCAAAAGCCCUCCUCCCCCCCUCUCUCUCUCUCUCUCUCUCUCUCUCCUUCUCUCGUUGUAAAACCACAUACCGUAAACGCGAUACGUCCGUCGCCCAACCACACACGGAUCGGAAUCGUUUUCUCUCCGAGCGGCGGUGUCAUAACACGAGUGGUUUACGCGCGGUGCGCCGCGCCGUUUCGUCGCAUCGCGCGGCACACGGAGUAGCGGAGCGGCACGCUCCACGUGCCCGUAUUUAACGUACGUGAACUACAUUUUGUAACGGACCGUAGGUAGACUCUUGCGCACGGCUCGUUUACGUGGACGGAGAGGAAUACGGAAUUAUGCGGAGAGCCCGCGUGCGAGUGGGCGCGAUGAGAGAUCGUAGAUCUAUCUCGCGGAGGACGUGAAUUUUGCAACGCGGAAUACCGCUUAGACGCUCUACCACGAGCGCAAACGUCGUAAAUACGGCCGCCGCCGGCUCGACCAGGCGACCGGUCUUCUCAAACAGUUGCAUCAAUCAUGCACUUAUUAUGCAAUAAACCGUGCGAUAAUUUUACUCACUCCAGCCCGACCGGCCACUCAGACCUCUUGCUGCAUUCCCUUGAUGACCGCUACGCUGUACCGUGUGGAUGCGAAUGCAUAUUCACUGAUAUAUGCGAAACGAUGAGGCAGAUGGGGAGGCUCCGCCACGGGAAAGAGGAAAAGAUGCGAGAGCGCCGAAGAGGAGGGAAGAAACGACGUCGUGAGGAGUGCCGGACUAAAUUACCCGGACGUGCCCGCGCAGAUAAGGCUCCCUGUGUACGCGCAUAAUGUGGUACGUAAUGUGCAAGUCCACGGGCAACCACCGCCCGCCACCUCAUCAUCCUCCUUCGUCGCCGUCGCCGUCGCUAUCGCCGCCGCCGCCGCCGCCACCGCCGCCGCCGUCGACGCCGACGCCGCCGCCACUGCAGCCGCGGUCGCGCCCGGAGGAAGAAGAGGCAGAGGAGGAGGAAUUGGAACCUAUGUAUCCACGUAUGUGCAGUCUGUGUGCUCAGAGGCUGGGCACAUAUUGACCGAUACGUACCGCCGGUAGCAAGAUAAACAGUUCUCCUCUCGUUUGCUCUCCCAGCCUUUCUUCCACACUCUCCUAUCUCCUUUUCUCCCUCUUUUUCCGUCCCUCUUUCCCCACCUGACUUUCGUCUCUCUUUCGUUCUUUAUCUUUCUCUCUUUCUCUCUGUUUAUUCUCUCUUCCCACUUGAGCUUAGCGCUAAGUCGCCGCCCGUGACCCGUACACACAAAAUUUAUGGUGACACGUCGACUGUAAAAUUUCAUAAAGAACACAUUUUAUAUGAUAGCCUAAUCAAACGGUAAGUCUAAUCACUCUGUGACGUAAAAGAAAAAAAAAGACGCGUUUUAGGAGAAAAAAAACCAAGUUAUCUCUCUUAAUGUCAAAUGAAAAUUGUGGAAAAGUAUGGGAAGAGAGCACAGUUAUUAAGAUCCUACUUAUUUGAAGUAAUAUCCAUUGUCAAAUCUAUCUGUGAAUAAUAGUGAAACCACAUCUAAUCACCUAAAUUGAUCAUCAAUCUCCUAAUAAUCUUAACACCAUCUUUCAGUUAUCAUUAAGGAAGCAUAGUCUGCCGAUUCUACUUAUUGGAAUACGGAAGUCGUGAGGGCCAUCUUGCUUGUAGGACUAUAGAUUCGGACCACGGGUUACCGUUUCAACUCAAUUUGUAAUUGAUAAACCCACCCGUAUUACUGAAGAUGGCAAAAAUGAGCAUCAAACCGUCUGUACAUUUUAUGGUUCAUUAUUUUAAAGGGUUAUUCGUUUCAAGAAAACUGCGCACUAAUUACAGCGCCGAUUCCCGUUUCUCUAUUUUCCUCUUUUAAUUGUUUAAAUAUUUUUAAUAGCUCUUAUAUUUUUAUAACACAUUAAUUAAAACUGCAUAUAUACAUGAAAAAAUAAUUUGUAUUCAAAUUGAAUUAGAGUUGUUCUAAAAAAAAAAUAUCUACGUAGAUUGCAUUUGGUAGUUUCAUAUCCAAUGACAAACUAGUAUCCAUUUAGAAACGUUCAAAAUUUUAUGUGGUCGUUCAAUCACUACGAAAUACAUGUGUAUAUUUCAGAUUUUAUUUCGGAAAAAAAAUAACGUGAUUCUAUCAAUUUCUCUUUUAGUUACAUUCUUCAUAACUUUCUCAUUUUGCUCUUUAAUAGUUUUCGGCUGAAAAAUAUAUCUAACAUUUACAAUAUUUACAUUUUUUUCAAUCUAUAGUAAUAAAACUUUUUUAUGGCUGUUAAUUUUACUCCAUAAUAAAUUAUUUUAAUAAUUUUCGAAAUAUCAGGAUCUAAUAGAAUUUUUAUCGCAAUGCACGCGUGUAGAUAUUAGAAAAUAAAUAUACAGAGCCCUCCGAUAAACAAAAGAGUACCAUAUACCUUGUGAAACGAAAAGGUAAAGAUAAGAAGACAAGCCUCGCAUUGCCCGAGGUAUGGAAACGAAAAUCACGCAAUUGCUGUGUCGGACAAGCUACAAAAUAAUAAAAUUUACCGUGUCCCUGGUGACUCUUAAUCAUUCGCCGGAGGUGAGCACCGCAACAAGAUCCCUGUAAUUCCUCACAAAAAACCAAACGGACUAUCUUCGUUCCCUCCCGUAAAAGUCGCAUUUUUCGGUCGUUCAUUGGUGGCAGCUCACGUCCAGGCGUAUCAAAGAUCGAUCGUCGCGGAAGCACCCUCAGGGUGAGUACUUCAGCUAUCCGCUUAAGUGCUGGGCUGCCGUUCAGCGCCCUGCGGGCACCAGAUGAUCUUAUUCGCGUGUCAUGCGAAUUUAUAUCAAAGCUCACACGCGCGACGCAAUCACAGAUUGAUAUCGGACCUUUUACGGUGAGAAGUGAUUUUGCGAUUUGAUUCAAAUAUUUUAAUAGGUCACAUCCCUCCCUUCCGCCAUAUUUAUUAAUGACGUGUAAUCAUAGAUAUCUCCAACUAAAUAAUUUUAAUAAUUGAAUAAUAUGGAUAAUUAUACAAAUUAUUAUUUAUAUUCAAUCAUUAUUCUUCAAGUUCAAUUUAUCUUCUGCUUUUUAUAGCGAUACUGUCAAUUUUCUCACAUUUAGCGCGAGAAAUGAAUAUAAUAAAGAAAAUAUUCGAGGAAUAAAUAGAAGAAAAAAAAAUACUUUAGUCAUUAAGAUAGGAAUUUAAUAAAUGAAAAAUGCUGAAGCCAUUACACGAAAAGAAAAACUUUGGUUGCAAAUGCCCGAAUUUUGACCCUGAAACUAGCUGCAAAGAAGGAAAGAACAAAAAAUUUAAUUUAUAAUGGUUUUUGCAGUGAAAACGACCAUAUUUUGUUACAGUUUUAAAUAAAUAAUUUUUAACCGAGUAAGUAGAUCUAAAUGAAUUUUUGCACGAAUAUUAAUAGUGUGCGUAAAAAUUGUGAUUUAAUUCGUAAUGCUACUUCCUCAUUAUAUUUGCGAAUAAGCUUUACAAAAUGUGAUUUUACAUAAGUAUCAAGAAUAAACAAGAAAUUGAAUAACUUUUAAACCAAUAAGAGAACCGUGGUAAAAUUUUAAAUACAUACUUAAAUGUAAUAAUAGAAAAAUUUAUAAAAUUUUUAUACGUUUGAUAAUAUUUUGAGAUAUGACACACCCUUAAUAAGUUCUACGUAACUCUUAUAGUUCUUGUAAGUAACUCUUGUAUUACAUUAUUAUUAAGUAUUGAAAUCACUCUAAAUUAUGAAAUAUUCACGACGAACAAACAGAACUCGACCAGAAUUUAUAAAUUCGCAAUUCGUCACAUAUAGCUCGAUUGACCUUUUCAUACGUUCGUUGCUCGCCAGCAUGACGGUGGCAUGAAAGACUUGUCGCUUUUUCAUCAGAACACGAGAAGAGCAGGAGGAGGAAGAGGAUGGGAUCGGGGCCGCAAAUUACAUUGUGAAGUGCCAUUAACAGCGAUGUAAUAGCCACAAUAGGCGAGCCUCCAGCAGGAUUUACAUACGCGCGUACGUACAUACAUGUGCAGCCUAUCGUGCAAUAAUAAAGUACGUGAAAAAGACCAUAGCUGCGCGUACGGUGAGAUAUCCGACGGAUACCAAAUGUUGCAGAGGGUUAGAACAAAAAAAAAAACAAAAAAAAAA